UACGAAGGACCCGAGCGUUAUCCGGAUUCAUUGGGUUUAAAGGGUGCGUAGGCGGAUUGAUAAGUCAGUGGUGAAAGCCUGAUGCUUAACAUCAGAACUGCCAUUGAUACUGUCGAUCUUGAGUACAUUUGAAGUGGGCGGAAUGUGUCAUGUAGCGGUGAAAUGCUUAGAUAUGACACGGAACACCGAUUGCGAAGGCAGCUCACUAAACUGUAACUGACGCUGAGGCACGAAAGCGUGGGGAUCAAACAGG
rnacentral:rRNA from 1 species